AUAGAGACUCAGAGCUGCAUAUCAAUAAGCGGAGGAAAAGAAACUAACAAGGAUUCCCCUAGUAACGGCGAGUGAAGCGGGAAGAACUCAAAUUUGAAAUCUUAAAGGGUUUCCCUUUACGAAUUGUAGUUUAAAGAAGUGUUUUCUGUUGGAGUUUCGGUAAAAGUUCUUUGGAAUAGGACAUCAUAGAGGGUGAGAAUCCCGUAUUUGACCGUUACUUUCCAGCUGUGUGAUACACUUUCAAAGAGUCGGAUUGUUUGGGAAUGCAGUCCAAAAUGGGUGGUAAAUUUCAUCUAAAGCUAAAUAUUGGCGAGAGACCGAUAGCGAACAAGUACCGUGAGGGAAAGAUGAAAAGAACUUUGAAAAGAGAGUUAAACAGUACGUGAAAUUGUCAAAAGGGAAGCGUUUGACACCAGUGUUGUUUAGUUGAAAAUCAAUUCAAUAGUUUUUGAUUCUAAGUAGUAUUGACUUCAUCAGCUUGCUGCUUUCUUCUCAGAAAUUAUUGAAUGCACUUUUCAGUUAACAAGUCAACAUCAAUUUCUUUUGUUGUAAAAGGGUAAGAGGAAGGUGGCUUGCGCUUCGGCUCAAGUGUUUAUAGCCUUUUAUCUCUGCAAUCGGAGAGAUUGAGGUCUGCAGCGUAGAUCCUUCGGGGUUAGAUACAUUUGUGCUAAGCUAUAGCCUUGUAUAGACAACUUGUUGACUAUGCUCAGUCAUGUAGCUUACUCGCUGAUGCUAUUUUACCUACGCUUAGGAUGUUGACGAGACUGUCGAUCUC
rnacentral:rRNA from 1 species